AGUGAACGCUGGCGGUAGGCCUAACACAUGCAAGUCGAACGGCAGCACAGUAAGAGCUUGCUCUUACGGGUGGCGAGUGGCGGACGGGUGAGGAAUACAUCGGAAUCUACUUUUUCGUGGGGGAUAACGUAGGGAAACUUACGCUAAUACCGCAUACGACCUACGGGUGAAAGCAGAGGAUCUUCGGACCUUGCGCGAUUGAAUGAGCCGAUGUCGGAUUAGCUAGUUGGCGGGGUAAAGGCUCACCAAGGCGACGAUCCGUAGCUGGUCUGAGAGGAUGAUCGGCCACACUGGAACUGAGACACGGUCCAGACUCCUACGGGAGGCAGCAGUGGGGAAUAUUGGACAAUGGGCGCAAGCCUGAUCCAGCCAUACCGCGUGGGUGAAGAAGGCCUUCGGGUUGUAAAGCCCUUUUGUUGGGAAAGAAAAGCAGCAGGUUAAUACCCCGCUGUUCUGACGGUACCCAAAGAAUAAGCACCGGCUAACUUCGUG
rnacentral:rRNA from 1 species